rnacentral:rRNA from 1 species
AUACGUAGGUGGCAAGCGUUGUCCGGAAUUAUUGGGCGUAAAGCGCGCGCAGGUGGUCCUUUAAGUCUGAUGUGAAAGCCCACGGCUCAACCGUGGAGGUGCAUUGGAAACUGGGGGACUUGAGUGCAGAAGAGGAUAGUGGAAUUCCAAGUGUAGCGGUGAAAUGCGUAGAGAUUUGGAGGAACACCAGUGGCGAAGGCGACUGUCUGGUCUGUAACUGACACUGAGGCGCGAAAGCGUGGGGAGCAAACAGGAUUAGAUACCCUGGUAGUCCACGCCGUAAACGAUGAGUGCUAAGUGUUGGGGGGUUUCCGCCCCUCAGUGCUGCAGCUAACGCAUUAAGCACUCCGCCUGGGGAGUACGGUCGCAAGACUGAAACUCAAAGGAAUUGACGGGG